AUUGAACGCUGGCGGCAGGCCUAACACAUGCAAGUCGAGCGAGCGGCGGACGGGUGAGUAAUGUCUGGGAAACUGCCUGAUGGAGGGGGAUAACUACUGGAAACGGUAGCUAAUACCGCAUACCAUCCGAUGUGCCCAGAUGGGAUUCGCUAGUAGGUGGGGUAACGGCCUACCAAGGCGACGAUCCGUAACUGGUCUGAGAGGAUGAUCAGGCAAACUGGAACUGAGAAACGGUCCAGACUCCGACGGGAGGCAGGAGGGGGGAAAAGUUGACAAUGGGCGAAAGCCUGAUCCAGCCAUGCCGCGUGUGUGAAGAAGGUCUUCGGAUUGUAAAGCACUUUAAGUUGGGAGGCGUUACCAACAGAAUAAGCACCGGCUAACUUCGUGCCAGCAGCCGCGGUAAUUC
rnacentral:rRNA from 1 species